UCUAGAGAUUACUCCUACGGGAGGCAGCAGUGAGGAAUCUUCCACAAUGGGGGCAACCCUGAUGGAGCAACGCCGCGUGCGGGAUGAAGGCCUUCGGGUCGUAAACUGCUUUUAUAAGUGAAGAAUAUGACGGUAACUUAUGAAUAAGGAUCGGCUAACUACGUGCCAGCAGCCGCGGUAAUAAUCGUCGAC
rnacentral:rRNA from 1 species